AAUGUCCCAGGAAGAUAUAUGGUUACUAUUUCUACUUAUUUUUUAAUAAGAGAAAUAUUGUAAUUUAUUUAACUUCUUCAUUUUAGCUUAAGGUGUUAGAUUCUAUCUUGAAGAAAAACUGAAAAAUAGUUUGUGAUGAUAGAAUGGCGAAAUAGCACUAGUAGUCUGAAUAUGGAUGAGAAGGGAGAGAAAAGUUUUAGGUGUUUAAAAUCCUGUGCUUAAUGCCUUAAAAAAAAAUCACAUAGGAAAAGCAUAUGGAAAGACAAUCAGGUGUAUUAUUUUUGUGAGGAUUACCUGAAGUGCUAGUGGAGUUGCCAGAGGAAGGAAGUGAUGGUGAAUGAAUGAGAGGCAGCUAUGAAUGAAUCACAAAUCUGUAGGUAGAUUUACAAGUCUGCAGGGGCUGCUUUGCGGGCUACGUUCGUGCGACAGCACACUCAAGUCACAGUGGCUCAUGGUAUGCAUAGUCCUUGUGACCUAGGAACAUGGUAACAGCUAGCUGCUUAGUGUUUGGUGAACACAAUCAUUUAGCAGUCUGAAUUUCAGAAGUUAAGCUCAACUGCUGGGUGUUUUUUAUUUGGACAAAGUGGAAAUUGAUAGUAAGUAUAAAUUUCUGUGGAAAAGUGAGAGGCACAAUUGUUCCAGGCCUAAAGAGGUGGCUAUCUUCAGCUGAUUAUACUAGCAUACCUCUCCCUUGUCUGGGAGGAGGAGAAGGUAAGUUUUUAUUUAAUUCCGUUAUCAAUUCCAGGUGCUCGCCUAUUUUCCUCCUUCCUUUCACUGCCAAACUUCUCCGCUAAAUUUUCUAAAUUCUCACCUUUUGCUCCCUCCUAAGCCUUCUGCAUUAUUAACUUCCAUCCUUACUCCUGAAACUGCUCUCUUCAAGGUCAUCUGUGACCAUCUUCAUUUUCCUUCCUCUCACUACUGAGUUUGAUGCUUUUAAACAUUUCUUCCUUCUUGGAGUACUUCCUUUUUGGGCACUAAAUGAUCUUAUUUUUAUAACUUUCCUCAUCGCUUUCCUUUGACUUAUUUUUGUCUGAUCACCUUCUGAUCAUGGAUAUAAUAUAACCUUUAUUAAAGGCCAACUAUGUGUGUACAUUGUUUUAUGGGUUUAUUUAACCUGCAUAAUCAAGGCAGGAGCUAGUAAACCUCUUUUGUGAAACUUUCAUUAAUACUAUAGUUUUUUGUUUUUCUUUUUGAGAUGGGGUCUCAAUCUGUUACCCAGGCUAAAGUAAAGUGGC